rnacentral:rRNA from 1 species
UAGGGAAUAUUGCAUAAUGGGCGAAAGCCUGAUGCAGCAACGCCGCGUGUGCGAUGAAGGCCUUCGGGUCGUAAAGCACUUUUUGAGAGGAUGAGGAAGGACAGUACUCUCAGAAUAAGCCUCGGCUAACUACGUGCCAGCAGCCGCGGUAAAACGUAGGAGGCGAGCGUUAUCCGGAUUUAAUGGGCGUAAAGCGCGUGCAGGCGGUAAGGAAAGUUGGAUGUGAAAGCUCCUGGCUUAACUGGGAGAGGUCGUUCAAAACUACCUAACGAGAGUGUGGGAGAGGGAGGCGGAAUUGCGUGUGGAGUGGUGAAAUGCGUAGAUAUCCGGAGGAACACCAGUGGCGAAAGCGGCCUCCUGGCCCAAGACUGACGCUCAGACGCGAAGGCUAGGGUAGCAAACG